rnacentral:rRNA from 1 species
CGUAACAAGGUUUCCGUAGGUGAACCUGCGGAAGGAUCAUUACCUAGAGUUGUAGGCUUUGCCUGCUAUCUCUUACCCAUGUCUUUUAAGUACCUUACGUUUCCUCGGCGGGUCCGCCCGCCGAUUGGACAAUUUAAACCAUUUGCAGUUGCAAUCAGCGUCUGAAAAAACUUAAUAGUUACAACUUUCAACAACGGAUCUCUUGGUUCUGGCAUCGAUGAAGAACGCAGCGAAAUGCGAUAAGUAGUGUGAAUUGCAGAAUUCAGUGAAUCAUCGAAUCUUUGAACGCACAUUGCGCCCCUUGGUAUUCCAUGGGGCAUGCCUGUUCGAGCGUCAUUUGUACCUUCAAGCUCUGCUUGGUGUUGGGUGUUUGUCUCGCCUCUGCGUGUAGACUCGCCUCAAAACAAUUGGCAGCCGGCGUAUUGAUUUCGGAGCGCAGUACAUCUCGCGCUUUGCACUCAUAACGACGACGUCCAAAAGUACAUUCUUACACUCUUGACCUC